rfam:Loxodonta africana unplaced genomic scaffold scaffold_204, whole genome shotgun sequence.
AGGGAAUUAGCUCAAGUGGUAGAGCGCUCGCUUAGCGUGCGAGAGGUAGUGGGAUCAACGCCUGCAUUCUCCA